UUCUACCCACCUUGGUCAUAAAUAAUGUUCAAUAUCGAGGAAAAUUAGAGAGGAGUGCUGUGCUGAAGGCUAUAUGUGCAGGAUUCAAGGAGUCUACCGAACCUCCUGUGUGCUUGAGUGGAGAUAUUGAAACAAAUGAGUGCCUUAAAUCAAAUGGUGGUUGUUGGCAACACCCAAAAUUAAAUAUCACAGCCUGCAAGGAUACCUUCAGAGGUAGACUCUGUGUAUGCCCUAUAGUGAAUAAUGUCCCAUAUCAAGGAGAUGGGUACACAUCUUGUGAAG